CCUACGGGGGGCAGCAGUGGGGAAUAUUGGACAAUGGGGGGAACCCUGAUCCAGCCAUGCCGCGUGUGUGAAGAAGGCCCUCGGGUUGUAAAGCACUUUCAGUGAGGAAGAACGCCUGGUGGUUAAUACCCAUCAGGAAAGACAUCACUCACAGAAGAAGCACCGGCUAACUCCGUGCCAGCAGUCGCGGUAAUACGGAGGGUGCGAGCGUUAAUCGGAAUUACUGGGCGUAAAGCGCGCGUAGGUGGCUUGAUAAGCCGGUUGUGAAAGCCCCGGGCUCAACCUGGGAACGGCAUCCGGAACUGUCAAGCUAGAGUGCAGGAGAGGAAGGUAGAAUUCCCGGUGUAGCGGUGAAAUGCGUAGAGAUCGGGAGGAAUACCAGUGGCGAAGGCGGCCUUCUGGACUGACACUGACACUGAGGUGCGAAAGCGUGGGUAGCAAACAGGAUUAGAUACCCCAGUAGUC
rnacentral:rRNA from 1 species